UCGUGCUAGGUGGGGAGUUAGCGGUGCCCUGUACCCGCAAUCCGCUACAGCGGGGCUGAAUUCCCACCCGAGGCUAUUUGCCUUGUGGGACUGCCUCCAUCGCUUGGCGUUGAAGAUCGGGUCCUGUGCGGCGGAACACUAUGAAGCCCGUCAGGUCCGGAAGGAAGCAGCGGUAAGUAGCCAGUUCCGGGUGCCACAGGUUCUCCUGGUCUGAGCCGGGUGGCGGAGUGUAAGCCGCAGGGGGGAGUCGAAGGUGGGUGCACGA
rnacentral:SRP_RNA from 1 species